rnacentral:misc_RNA from 1 species
GAAUGAAGAACGCAGCGAAACGCGAUAGUUAAUGUGAAUUGCAGAAUUCAGUGAAUCAUCGAGUCUUUGAACGCACAUUGCGCCUUUUGGCCAUUCCGAGAGGCACGUCUGUUUGAGCGUCAGCAAAACCCUCUGGCCCCCGGUUUUUUCCGCAGGGCACGGGCCAGCUGGCGCGGGGACUGGCCGCCGCGCUCCGGCGCGGGCGGGCCUUCCCCCGCUUAAAGGUGUGGAAGUUAGCGGGGUGCGCCCCGGAUAGCGACGACUCGUAAGCACUUACCGUCGGAAGCGUCCGGGACCUGCCCCCGCCUCAAAACAUGGAGCGGCCCUCCGCGGCCCUCCGAACCCUUGACCUCAGAUCAGACGAGGAUACCCGCUGAACUUAAGCAUAUCAAUAAGCGGAGGA